CUGGCGGUUCUGGAUCCACCCCAAAACCAGCGGUGCUCGGUCUCAUUCAUAGAUCCGCCGAGGUUCCUGCAGCACCACACCACCUUCCGUCAUGGCAUUCUGCAGGCAUUUCAGCUGGUUUUGCAGAUCAGGGAAAACAGGAAACCACCUCAACUUCAAGGAGAAACUGGAGCUCAGGUUUAUUCACUUACACAUCUACUUCGUAAGAGAACUCGGGCGAGGCAGAGCUAAGCUGCCGACUGAAUCUAUUUCCAGCUAUCACCAGAGCCGAGUGACAGAGAGAGGGAUCUUCCAUCUGUUGGUUCACUACCCAGAUGGCUGCAACAGCCAGAGGUGGGCCAGGCUGAAACCAAGAGCCAGGAACUCCAUGCGUGUCUCCCGAAAGGCUGGCAGGGGCCCACAGGCUCAGGUCGUGCUCCGCCGCCGUCCGGCACAUCAGCCGGAGCUGGCCCAGAAGCAGGGCAGGCGGGUGUGAAGCCGCACUUGGAGAUGGCAUGAGGACGCCACAAGGCCUCACCUGCUGUGCCGCACACCAACUCUGAAAACCGUCUUUAACUCGCAAGCCGAAGCCGGCUGCUGCCCAGAGGCCAGUGUGCUGACCCCUGUCUCAAAUCAUUCGUUCACUGAAGAGGUUAGGAGGCAUUAUCUCUGAGGUCACUUCCCAAAGUCUCUAUGCAAUUAUAAAUAGGGCUGACGGGGUGGGGAUGGGGGGCGGAGAGUGGCUACAUGUCUAGUCAUUUAAACAUCCACAUAGUGAAGAUUUCAAGUUGGGAGUUUCAAAAGAUUGAAUUUCAGACUUAAGUUCCGAAUUAUCUCAAAAUUGAAUUGCCUGUUCCCUUCCACCCCCUCCCAACUCUGUGAAAUGUAUCACAGCAACUGUAACCAUGAUCACCCCCGUCCACUAUGAUGAAACUUAGGGCUUUUGGUGACAAAGAUAACUUCUACUGUAUCUACCUCCUUCAGCCAGCACAAUGCCCAGUAGGUGAUAUAGGUCCAGUGUUUGUUAAAUAAAUACAACACACAGCUAGGAUUUUUAAUUUGUUCUUGUAACUCUGUAUACUCGUUAAGAGGGGUUUUAUUCUCCCGCCUGCACUGUAGCAUAGCG